rnacentral:rRNA from 1 species
AUGCACGCUGGCGGCGUGCCUAAUACAUGCAAGUCGAGCGAACGGACGAGAAGCUUGCUUCUCUGAUGUUAGCGGCGGACGGGUGAGUAACACGUGGAUAACCUACCUAUAAGACUGGGAUAACUUCGGGAAACCGGAGCUAAUACCGGAUAAUAUUUUGAACCGCAUGGUUCAAAAGUGAAAGACGGUCUUGCUAUCACUUAUAGAUGGAUCCGCGCUGCAUUAGCUAGUUGGUAAGGUAACGGCUUACCAAGGCAACGAUGCAUAGCCGACCUGAGAGGGUGAUCGGCCACACUGGAACUGAGACACGGUCCAGACUCCUACGGGAGGCAGCAGUAGGGAAUCUUCCGCAAUGGGCGAAAGCCUGACGGAGCAACGCCGCGUGAGUGAUGAAGGUCUUCGGAUCGUAAAACUCUGUUAUUAGGGAAGAACAUAUGUGUAAGUAACUGUGCACAUCUUGACGGUACCUAAUCAGAAAGCCACGGCUAACUACGUG